rnacentral:misc_RNA from 1 species
GAACAACGAAGGUAGCGGCAGAGAUCAAGGUGCGGAAGGAAUGCUUGCUGGCUAGCACUUUAUCUUAGACGUCUAUCUCACUCUUUCUUUCACAGUGCUUAUCUCGAUUCUUAAAAAACCUCUCCCGUACGGUCGAGUCAGCUUCGCUCCUUUAUUCGUACAUCUCUUUCUCGAAUGGAAAUAUCCCAAUAGUCAAGGUAGAAACUGCGAAGAAUAGCGUAGUAAUAAAGUAGCCAAGGGAGUAAAGUACCCAAAAGCAUGGUUACAUGGCCUACCCAGUAACAGAUUAAAAGAAGCAGGGAUAUCUAGCACAUGGAAUUCAAUAUUUGCAACCACUGGCCCUCACUCAACCCUCGACCGCUUCGUAGCGUCUUUCUAGGAAUUAAGGAAGAUUGAGGACAAAGAAAUU